rnacentral:rRNA from 1 species
AUCAAUGGCCGCGGUACUUUGACCGUGCUAAGGUAGCGCAAUCAAUUGGCUUUUAAUUGUAGUCAUGUAUGAAUGGAGUCACGGGGUUUAGCUGUCUCCUAGUUAAUUUAUUGAAAUUACUAUUUAGGUGAAAAAGCCUAAAUUAUAUAAUAGGACGAGAAGACCCUUAGAGUUUGUCUUAUAUCGAAAUUAUUUUCGAAUCAGUUUUGUUGGGGCAACAUAGGAUCAUAAAACAUCCUAAAAAUAUUAGCCGAUAUUUAUAAGAAUAGAUAAACUACCUUAGGGAUAACAGCAUAAUUUUAUUAAUAAGUUUGUGACCUCGAUGUUGGACUAGGGAACUAAAAGGCUAGCCGCCUUUUAGGUAAGUUCUGUUCGAAC